AUAUGGCGGGAAAUACAGAGGGGGAGGGAACACAAUUACAAACAAGGGGAACGACAUAACACACAUGCACAGAGUGAAGGACCACUAGUCACAUAUGACCUCACUAACAUGGCGGCGUCUCGACACUGCUUGACGCGUACGCAAGGUGAAGGGUGAGAGGUUACUGUCUUGCUUUCAGGCGGCGGGAGAUAUUAAUACGGUUGCUGGACGACUGAGAGAAACAUCAAAAUAUACCAGCGACUAAACGUGUGGGUGCCUGGUGGUCCUGUUCUCAGAUAAUAAAGUGUUUGGCCAUGUUCUCUGACCUCACAGCCCAGAAGGGGGCAACGUUGUUGGCCCCACCUGCCCUUGAGGGCCCGGUCUUCGACAGAGUGUGCCCCUCCUCCUACACCAACUGCUCGGAGCGCUUCAAACUCGGGGAGCGGAGCUUCAGCCGCCAGUACGCUCACAUCUACGCCACCCGGCUCCUUCAGAUGAGACCCGUCCUGACCAAGAGGGCUCAGCAGAUGUGGGGAGCUGACAUACCGGUAAAGAAACUCUGUGAGAUCCAGAUGGGUGAGCAGUGUUGCAUUGUGGGAACCAUCUUCAAGCACAUGGACCUCCAGCCAUCUAUUCUUCGAGAGAUCAGCGAGGAGCACAACCUCCUACCUCAGCCGCCACGAGCAAAAUACAUCAGCCAAUCGGACGAGCUGAUUCUGGAGGACGAGUUACAGAGGAUCAAACUGGAGGGUGCCAUCGAAGUGCAGAACUUCGUCACAGGAAGUGUGAUUGCUGUUUACGGAGCUGAGAAGAACGAUGGGAAGUUCAUGGUGGAGGAAUACUGCAGAGCCGAGCUGCCCCCACAGUCCCCACGGAGAGGCCCCCAUGCUGACAGGUUCGUGCUCCUGGCCUCGGGGCUGGGUUUGGGGAGUGGCAAUGCGGACUGUCUCCUGGGUCUGCAGCUGCUGGUGGACAUGGUGACGGGGCAGCUGGGGGACGAGGGUGAGCAGAGUGGGGUGGCCCGAAUCUCCAGGGUGCUGCUGGCUGGGAAUCUGCUGAGUCAGAGCACACAGGACAAGGACUCCAUCAACAAGGCUAAGUACCUGACCAAGAAGACGCAGGCCGGCAGUGUGGAGGCUAUCCGGAUGCUGGAUGAGAUUCUGGUACAGCUGGCGGCCUCUGUUCCAGUGGACCUCAUGCCUGGGGAGUUUGACCCCACUAACUACACCCUGCCCCAGCAGCCUCUACACCAAUGCAUGUUCCCACUGUCCUCCGCAUACCCCACCCUGCAGCUGGUCAGCAACCCCUUCCAGGCAGACAUCGACGGGCUCCGGUUCCUGGGGACGUCAGGACAGAAUGUGAGCGAUAUCUACAAGUACAGCGGGCAGGAGGACUACAUUGAGAUCCUGGAGAGCACCCUGAGACUGAGCCACUUGACCCCCACUGCUCCAGACACGCUUGGCUGCUACCCAUUCUACCAGCGCGACCCGUUCAUUCUGGAGGAGUGUCCUCAUGUCUACUUCUGUGGCAACGCACCGGCCUUCCAGUCCAAACGAGUCAUAGGUGCUGACGGCCAAGAUGUCCUCCUUGUCGCUAUCCCAGAGUUCAGCUCGACGCAGACUGCCUGCCUGGUAAACCUGCGCAACCUGGAGUGCCAGCCAAUCAGCUUCUCUGCUUUCUCAGCCGAGGCAGAGGAAGAGAGUGAGAUGGAUAUCAGCCACUGAGCGCAAGCUUAGCAGCUGAAGAGAGAAGCUCAGCCUGGGGGUAUAAGACCAAGGCCAGGCCCAGCACGAACAAGGAAGAGUUUCCAUUGCAACCUGAUAAUUCUCUGGUGCAGCCACCAUAAGCUGAACCCUUGCAGCUUAUCCAAGAAGCCUUUCUUAAAUGAAAUUUGGACUGGAAUACACCAUCUGCUGGUAGAGAUAUAGAUAGCGGUCGGUAUUGUUGUCAUUCCACACCCCAUACCCCAGAAACAUACUCCAAUGACCCUGCAGAUCUAUUUAUGCCAGUCCCUGCAUCAUGAACUGGCAUCCUUGGGAAGCAAGUACAUUAUUCCAGUUUAUUGGCAAAACAUCAGACUCUUGUGUUUAACAAUCACUAUUUUAAGAAGCAUUUUGUGCUUCGACUGGACUUGAACUUGCAUCGUCAGGCCUUGGACUCGAAAUUGUGACUUGACAACUGCUGUGGGGUCGCGAAAGACAGACUCAGAUACAUUUUGAAAGAAGAGCUAUAUACCCUUCCCAUGCCCCUCCCUGAUGUACUGUAUCUGUGUUUGUUUUACUGAAGACACUUGUAAAUAAACUAGGAUCUUGUGAUUUUCUUAUAAGAAA